rnacentral:rRNA from 1 species
AUGUGGCUGCCUGUAGUUCUUGUGUUUAAUGCAAACACUCCCCUUUCCUUCCCUGCAGCAGUGGACACGAGCAGGCAAGGUGCUUCUCCUAUCACGUCUCCUGGCAGAACUGGAAAUCUAGUCAGCGUGCAGGUUCUUGUGCAGAUGAGGGCACCAGCAACGGACCAGCGGCGACUGAGCCUUCUCUCAUCCAGAUCCCCGCGGACGUGUGUCCUCAAUGCCAUGAGUUGGCCCUGCUCAACCUCUGUCUCCAGGACGAAGAUGAUGUCCACGGUGCUGCCCAGCGGGAAGGGCAACAAAAAAGUUGCAAAAAAUGCUAGUGCAGCUGAUUGCCUCCUCUGUGUUGCGAUGUACUAUGUUGUGUAG